UUGGACGUCUGAAGGCAUGUUUUAUAGACCCUAGGCGGCGCUCCCAAAGUCCUUCUCCCACCAGAAUUAGGAAAACUCGAAUUAGGUCUUUUUCCGGGUUUUGACUCGGACCGAGUCAAGUUCUGACUCGGCCGAGUCAAGUCGAACUUUUGAUCUUCACGAUUUCGCUCAUAACUUUCUGCUCCGGUGUCGGAUUUACGCGAUUUUGGUGUCUACGCGAAGCUCUUGAAGUCCUUUUUCCAAUGGUAGAAGUUUCGUGCGAUUUGGACUUCUGUGGAGAAAGUUAUCGACGUUGCAACAUGAGUACCUCAUCCGGACAUCUCCUUUAACGCUCCAAAUAGUUCCUUUUCGGUUCCAAUCACCUCCGAAACCUGUAACUCUGCAAAACUAGAGCACAACCGGGUUUUGUGUCCUAAUACGCCUAGAAUUCCUAUAAAUGCACAUGAUCCUCGUCUAAAUCCUAUAGAAACGUCCAGGAAAUAUAGAGAGAAUUAGGAGUUAUCACUCUACACAAUCGGCGGGGUAGAGAACCUUAUCGCUGCAAGAAAAUACUACGCGGCCACCAUAGACUUGACGGGCGGCAGAAACAACAGAGCCCUAUUCGGGAUCUGCUUGUGUGCCUCUGCCAUUUCUCAGCUAUCAAAGGGCAGGAAUAAAGAGGACAGAGACAUGGUGGCGCCUGAGCUGCAGUCUCUGGCUGCAUCUGCACUUGAGAAGGAGUUCAAGCAAAACUCUCCGGCUAAGCUUCAGCUCCUCUCCUCCGCUUUGCGAAGCUUGAAACUUUGAUCUUAAAAAGCCGUUUAUUGUUUGAGAAACGCAGUCGCGAAUGCUAGUUGGGUCGGUGGCCGUGGGGUUCUGUGUGGAACAGAACUCACAAGGAGGCUGACUGGUGGAGUGGUGUUCAUCUGCAGCUUUGGUCUUGCAAGUGUUUUUUUCUUUCAUGAAGGUUUCCACAAACAUAAACAUUUUUGGUGUUUCUAGUUUUAAGUUAGUGUCAGGUUGCUCUUUUUUUCUUCCUUUAAAUUUUUAAAUGUCUUAAAAUUAUUGACUGUAUUAUUAUUUGUUGUUCUCUGAAUAGACUGUAUGAACAUAAGCCACUCCGCUGAUUUAUUUCUUUUUUUUUUUUUAAAUUGAAUUGUUGCUUUAAGAUUUCAUAUU